rnacentral:tRNA from 1 species
AGCCCGGUCGUCUAGUUGGUCAAGGAUGCUGGCCUUUGGAGCCGGCGACCCAGGUUCGAAUCCUGGCCGGGCUA